rnacentral:rRNA from 1 species
AGUGGCGAACGGGUGAGUAACACAUCGGAACGUGUCCAGUUGUGGGGGAUAACCCAUCGAAAGGUGGGCUAAUACCGCAUGAUCUGGGGACAGCAAAGCGGGGGACUGGUAACGGCCUCGCGCGAUUGGAGCGGCCGAUGUCCGAUUAGCUAGUUGGUGGGGUAAAGGCCUACCAAGGCUUCGAUCGGUAGCUGGUCUGAGAGGAUGAUCAGCCACACUGGGACUGAGACACGGCCCAGACUCCUACGGGAGGCAGCAGUGGGGAAUUUUGGACAAUGGGGGCAACCCUGAUCCAGCCAUGCCGCGUGAGUGAAGAAGGCCUUCGGGUUGUAAAGCUCUUUCGGUGGGAACGAAACGGUUACAGCUAACACCUGUGACUAAUGACGGUACUCACAGAAGAAGCACCGGCUAACUACGUGCCAGCAGCCGCGGUAAUACGUAGGGUGCGAGCGUUAAUCGGAAUUACUGGGCGUAAAGCGUGCGCAGGCGGUUACUUAAGUCAGGUGUGAAAGCCCUGGGCUUAACCUAGGAAUUGCGCUUGAGACUGGGUAGCUUGGAGUGUGGCAGAGGGAGGUGGAAUUCCACGUGUAGCAGUGAAAUGCGUAGAGAUGUGGAGGAACACCGAUGGCGAAGGCAGCCUCCUGGGCCAGCACUGACGCUCAUGCACGAAAGCGUGGGGAGCAAACAGGAUUAGAUACCCUGGUAGUCCACGCCCUAAACGAUGUCAACUGGUUGUUGGUGGGGUUAAACCCAUUAGUAACGAAGCUAACGCGUGAAGUUGACCGCCUGGGGAGUACGGCCGCAAGGUUAAAACUCAAAGGAAUUGACGGGGACCCGCACAAGCGGUGGAUGAUGUGGAUCAAUUCGAUGCAACGCGAAGAACCUUACCUACCCUUGACAUGCCAGGGAGCCCGAUGAGAGUUGGGUGUGCCCGAAAGGGAACCUGGACACAGGUGCUGCAUGGCUGUCGUCAGCUCGUGUUGUGAGAUGUUGGGUUAAGUCCCGCAACGAGCGCAACCCUUGUCACUAGUUGCUACGGUAACGGGCACU